AGGAGGUUGCUCUGCUUGUCACUUCGGUUUCUCCAAGCUGCGCUUCUGUAGGUGCCACGGACUGUCCCGCUGCGCCUAGCAGUUCGUCCAUCUGUCAUGUCAAGUGAGACCUGAUGCUGAAGUCUGGCAUCUCUCUGCCUGAGGACAAGGCAGAGCCGCCACAGGCCUUGCUGGGGAGGCAGCGUUCCUGCCCAGCAUGGGGGAGCCUUGGGAACCAAGUCCACCUCUUCACAGGAGAGCUCAGACCCUCUGAGAAAGGCACCUCUCCCAUUUCCCAAGACUUGGCAAAGAUGAUGGAGAGUGGUCCAGCAAUGACUUCAGCCAGCUCCCUCAGCACCUGUGGAUGCAUCCCAUCUGGACCCAUUUAUUUAUGGAUGUCCAGACUAUUUAAUUGCUCCCUAACCUAGUCCUCAUCAACUAAAGCAAACUCUUCCAUUGACCUGGCUUCAUCCGGGGUCUACUUGCUAUUCUGUUCCUGCCACACAAGAUGCUGAACUCCACCAUCUCGUGGUCACUGCAACUCAGGCAGCCCUCAACCUUUACUGCUUCGACCAGACCCUCCUUGUUAGUGAGGAUGAGAUCCAGCAGUGCACCUCUCCUAGUCGGCUCCUCCACCAUCUGCAUGAGGAAGUUAUCAUCAAUGCACUGGAGGAACCUCCUGGAUUGUGGCUGGCUGGCUGAAUGGUCCUUCCAGCAAACAUCAGGGAAGUUAAAAUCACCCGCAACAACCAGGGCCUGUGACUGUGACUCUCAACUGCCCAUAGAAGGCCUCAUCAACUUCCUCAGCCUGAUCUGGUGGCCUGUAACAGACACCCACAACAGUGUCACCCCUACCAGCCUGCCCCUUGAUCCUGACCCAUACACUCUCAACUCGCUCGUCAUCCACUCCUGGGCAGAAUUUAGUACAUUGUAGUUACUCUCUCACGUAGAGAGCAACUCCAGCACCACGCCUGGCUGGCCUGUCUUUCCUGAAAAAGGCAUAGCCAUCCAUGACCACAUUCCAGUCAUGUGAACUGUCCCACCAUGUUUCUGUAAUUGCCACCAGAUCAUAAUCUCCCAGCCGAACACAGGAUUCUAACUCCUCCUGCUUAUUACCCCAGAGCACAGCAAGAAAGCAUCUUGCUCAUUCAGAUUGCUAAACACAGGUCAUACUAAAUCAGAGGGAAAUGAGACAAUAUAUAAUGCAGUUUAAGAAGAUACUAAUUCAAAAGAGAUAAGAUGAAGUCAAGAUAGGAAGCUCUCAGUCCUCUAAUGUUGCUGUAAUCAUUGAAUCACAGUGCUGGAAGGGUCCUUGGGCCUCACGGCAGAGUGAGCUCCACCUUCACCACUGUUGCUGUGAUGAAGGUCCUGUACCUCUCCAGGCAGCCUAUUUCUAUGCUUCUCCAUCCUUAUAAUUUUCAUACCUAACCUGAAUUUUCCUUGCAGCAUUCACUAAGCAUAUCCCUUCUUGUCCUGUUCACCAUGGACAGGGAGAACAGAUUCUCUUGGCAGUAGUCUAUUCAUAUUUAAUGAAUGUCUCUUCCAUCUGUUCCUCCUUCCCUUCUCAUUUCCUAGGCUAAACAACCUAAUUUCUGUCAUUUUUUCCCCCAUAGGUCACAUUUUCUCAGUCUCUGAUUGCUCUUUUUGUUUUGUUCUGGAUUCUGUACACUUGUUUCAUGUUUUAUUUUCUUCUUUUUUUUUUUUUUUUUUUCCCUCUCUGUGAGAUGCUCACAACCCAACUCAGUUCUACAGUGGAAAGAUUACUAACUGUGUCUUAUGAUCUGCACUCCUAUUUAUACAUCCCGUGAGAUGUCUGCCUUCCUUCCAUCACAGGCAUAUCCACAACUGAUGACCUACUGAAACUUCUUUGCUGUCCUCAAGGCCUGGGCAGGUGUUAUUUGCUCCAUAUGUGCAUAACAGCCUACAUAAAGUAUCUUGCAUUUGGCCUCACUAAAAGGCACAGUAGUUUUUCCAUCUUGUACACCCAACUUUCUUAGAACAUGAUGAAUACUAAACUUGCCCUCCUCCAUGCCAGCGGUCGUCCCCAGCCUCUUUGCCAUCCAUGUGUUUGGUGAGCCUACUCUCUCUUCAGUGGUGAUGGCAAAGUAGUGCAGCCUAGUUCGCACGUAAGUUCAUAGAAUCAUAGAAUGUCCUGGGUUGGAAGGGACCCACAAGGAUCAUCGAGUCCAACUCCUCUCCCUGCAUAUGACAACCCCACAGUUCAUACCAUGUGGCUGAGGGUGUUGUCCAGUCUCUUCUUGAACACUGUCAGGCUUGGGGCUGUGACACCUCCCUGGGGAGCCUGUUUCAGUGUCCAGCACCCUCUGGGUGAAGAACCUUUUCCUAAUGUCCGCUGGCACAUCUUCCUACCAUUCCCUUGGGUUCUAUCACUGGUCGUCACAGAGAAGAGAUUGGCAUCUACCCUUCCUUCUUCCCUUGUGAGGAAAUUGUAGACUGUGAUGAGGUCUCCCCUCAGUCUCCUCCAAGCUGAACAGACCUAGUCACUAUAGCUGCUCUUCAUACAUCUUCCCAUCACCAACUUUGUGGCCCUCUUCUGACUAACUUUGUCUCCCUCAUGAGGGAGAGCAAGCAGGGAAGGCACCUCUUUGAAGGAGGGGCAUCCCACUGUCUGAGUGGGAGACUUAUACAUAUGGGUACUUAUACACUUAUUUUAAGUUCCCACAUCGGUCAUAUGUCAAAUUUAAAAAAAAAAAAAAAACAACAAACAAACCAUAACACAAAAUGAAGUCCAGGUUUAUUAUCCAUUACUAAAAACCUUGUCAUUUUUUGUAUUGGGUUUUUGUGGCUUUUGGUAGUGUGGUGACUUUUGUGGGAAGCUACUAGAAGCUUCCUCUAAGUUUGAUCAAGCCAAAGCCAGCCAGCUCCAAGAUGGACCCACCAAUGGCCAAAGCUGAGCCAAUGGGGGUAGCACCUCUGUGAUAGCAAAUUUAAGAGGAAAAAGUUGCUGCACAACUGCAACACGAGUUGGAGAGAGGAGCGAGAAUAUGUGAGAGAAACUGCCUGGCAGACACCAAGGUCAGUGAAGAAGGAGGAGGGGGUGUUCUCAACCUCAGAAGCAGUGGACAUCUUUGUGCAAGGCUGCCAAGGGAGGACAAGAUCUUUCUGAGUGUAGAGACCCACUGCAGCAAUGCUCUGCGCUCUGCAGAGCAAGGAGAAACACCAAGCACUGUGAGGAGCCGAAGAGCAAUGAGGCUGCCCAAGCCCUGGUUGCCACUGAAGGGUGAAUGAGUUGGGGGUCCAACAAAGUAAUUUCACACAUACCUCCUAGUCCUGUGGGUCCUGAUAGGGCUCAGUUGACCCUAGAUUAAUACUGUGCAUUUUUCAAUCUUUGUUGCUAUUGGAUUGUUUUUUUAAUAGAGCUAAAUGACUUGGCAGUGUCACAAAAUCACUAAAAGCCAUUUAAAAAUAAUACUGUCACUAGAAGGCUUUUGAAGGAUGAAAUUAAGCAGAAUUCAUUCCUCUUCUGUCACCUGAAAGUUUAUGUCACACUCCUCCUUCCCCCUCUCUACCCACAGAAGUAACAUUUAUGUACAGUUUAAUGUUAUGAUAUUUUAUCAUGCAAAUAAUGAUCUCAUUCACCAUGGUGGGACUAUUUAUGUCCUCAGGAUUGUAAACCUGUUACUGUGCUCUGCCAAGCACUCCAGGGUUGUCCAGUAAAGGUAGCCUCAAUAUCUAACUCAUUCUGAAGGAAUGCUUGUGCUACUAUAGAUCAUCUUUAUUUAAAUACAGAUUUCACAGAAUUAUUUAAAAAAGGAAAAAUCAGCAUAUAGUCUGUCUAUCCCUUCAUACACACAUGAAAUGUGAAUCUUCAGGAAUGAUGGAAAUGACAGAACAUGAGCAAAUUAGCUUUCAUUCCCCCAUGCAUAUUUUGGUUCUUUUGUUUUCCCGUAACUUUAGACAUUCUAAUAAUAAUGGAAAAAAGGAACUUCUGCUAUUGAUCAAGUGUCCUUUUUUUGAAACCUAUCUAUCAUUUUUCUCAAAUGAAUGUGUAUCUUGGUAUGAUGUCUGCAUGAAAGUAAGCAAAGAGCAUAAGAGAAUGGAUUAAAAACUGUAACACUAGCUAGUAAAAGCACUCAGACUGAUUAAUGAAAGUCAUGGUAAAAGGAAAGUAAGGUUUCAUGGACUGAAAGAUCAAAGAGAAUGAGGAUGAGGACACAUAGUUUAACAGAUGAUGGAAAAAAUAAAUCAACAUUUGCUGGGGUUUGCAGUUGGUUUUUCUCAGUAAAGUGAAAAGAUCAAUGGAAUAUUUUAAAGUUUGUAGGCAGUGAAGUUAAGCUAUUGCAUACCUUAAUGAUGCUAUAUCACAAGGGAAAGAAAUGGAAAAAGAAAGGAAAAAAAAGAAUGAAAACAAGAAAGAAAGGUCAGUUAUAUUAUAAAGAGGUGGUAAGUAAUGUCAAUUUAAAUGUCUAUAUUUUAAAAUAGCAUUUUUAUUUUUUUUAAACUUUUUUUUUUUUUUAAUUUUCACUUUCAGUUUUUCUUUGUUUUCUGUGCACGCAAAACUUUUCCAUGUUGUGAAGCUAAAGUCCCCUUGUAUGAAGAUGAAUUCAUUAUUCUCUCUCCCUCCCUUCACAGGUACACAUACUCACAUAAAAGGGUGUAAAGAUGGUCAUGUGGAUUUUAUGGAGGGAGAUAAGUGGCUGGAAAUUAAUAAUUCACCUUUUAACACAUGGGUGGAGCUGUGUUUUCCCCCUUUCUCUUCCAGGUCUUCUUCCUUAUCCUCUCAGACAUCACUCCAGUUUUUAAAAUGAAUUAACAGCUGUGACCAUUGCAUUUCUUUUACUUAUGACUUUGUGGGCACUCGUACUGACCAGGAAUAUAUUAGUUGGACUGGUUUGUACUGAAAAAUAUUGGUUUGUCUAUUCACUCAAUUGUUGCAGUUUCCCUGAAAAUUAACCUUCAGAAAGACAUUAAUAUGAUGGAAAUUUUCAACUCCUAGGAAAAAAACAAACAAACAAAACAUGAAAAACAAAAAAAUCCCCAACAUUUUAAAAAACAGUGAAUUUAAGGUUUUCAUUUUCAAAUAUUUCUUUCAAAUUUUCUUUGUGGAUUACAAGCUUUUUUUUCAGAAUCAUAGAUGAAAUGUGAUGGAGCUCUUAAAGCAAAGAAGAUUGAUUAGAAAAUGAGACAAUUCUUCUUUGGGAAAUGAGGGUCUUUAUCCUAAUUCAAAAUCAAAUAUGAUUUCAAUAAUUUAAAAAAAGACUUCCCAAAACAAAGCUUUUUUUGGGGAUCUCCAAGUGACCCAGAUGUUUCUCUCCACCCUUUUACCCUCUUUCAACCAGGUUUCAGGGAGUAGCUCUCUCUUUCCUCUUCUCUCUCCUCUACACACUCCAUCAUUCUCCUGUAAUGCUGUUAAUGCUGGUGAAUCCUUGAGGCACCCACAUUGCUGAAUGAAUAAUACUUUUUACAAAGCAGUGGAUAGUUCUUGAUGCUUUAUGGGAUUCCUUUGAAGAAGAGAUUUAUUCUUCUUUUAAUAUAAAAGACCUUUGACUUGCAUGUUAAUUGCAACAAAAGUUAAAAGGAAAUGAGCUAUUAAAUUCACCUCUCAAUGCACUACAAGUGAAAUUUUCAUAAUCUACAACAGGCAGACUAUUCACAAGCAUUUUAUUAUUGAUUUACUAUCUGAAGCAGCAAGUGGUAGGAACGAAGGCCUUAUGAGUGAAGUUACAAUUGAAACUAAUACUAGAAAGAAGACCUGAAUUUAAGACACUCAAAAGAAGCUAAAAACCUCCAAAAGCACACGUAAGGCUAUUCUGCAUAACUUUUUCACUUGGAAUAAUAAUCCUUAGCUCUAUGUAGAGGUUUUCACAAGCAGAUCUCAAAGUGUUUUUCUUGUUACAGGAUGGAGAUGUUUCCUGUGGAUGUAUACAAUAAAUCUAAUUAGACUGCAAAUAGAAAGCCAUUAUAUUGUAUGAGAUUUUAAAUCUAUUCAGAUAAGUAUCCUGCCGUUACGGCAGCAAGACAUAUCCUAAGAGGAAAUCCCCCUGUCAGACAGAUCAAAGAGAGGAAAGUCUGGUAGGGUUGUGUAUGCAUGUGGUUAUGUGCGUAUAUUAAACCUUGGAAAAGGAACAAACCUAGAAACAUUCAUGUUUCCAAGGGAAAGGAAAUUCCUUUUUGUUUCUUCUCCUUCUUCUUCUGUCUGGGGGAAAAUAAUUCUGUUCAAUUUUUAAAUAAAAUAUGAAGCCAGA